UACGGAGGGGGCUAGCGUUGUUCGGAAUUACUGGGCGUAAAGCGCACGUAGACGGCUUUGUAAGUUAGAGGUGAAAGCCCGGGGCUCAACUCCGGAAUUGCCUUUAAGACUGCAUCGCUAGAAUUGUGGAGAGGUAAGUGGAAUUCCGAGUGUAGAGGUGAAAUUCGUAGAUAUUCGGAAGAACACCAGUGGCGAAGGCGACUUACUGGACACAUAUUGACGCUGAGGUGCGAAAGCGUGGGGGAGCAAACAGG
rnacentral:rRNA from 1 species